rnacentral:ncRNA from 2 species
AUGUUAUCAAGAAAGGUGGAGAGAUAGACUCGACGAAGCCUUAGCAACCCUUAGACUUACUAAGAAGGUGCUAAAUUCUACUUGAAUGCGCAAGUCAUUUUUUGCAAAUUCGGAUAGAUAACUC